rnacentral:lncRNA from 1 species
GAAUAUCGAUCUUUUUAUUGUUAAUAUCCCACCAUUCAUACUGAAACAAGAAAACAGAAUUACUUGACUUAUACUUCAAUUCUAUGGUAUCUAUCAGUAUGUUAUAAUAUUCAAUCUCUUGUUCUCCUUCAUAUUCUGUCGUAGCAAUCUCACUAUUCUGGAUUUAUCAUUGCAUCUCAAGCUCUCUUGUGUAAAAUCACAUUCCUCCAAUGAUACAGGAUGCAUAGUAGUUAACUCUU